GUGCUCAUGAUGUGAUAGGAAGUUUGUUAUAUGACCAAACCAACCCAAAAAAUUCUAAACAGACUCCUUGGUCUGUGCUGAUGUUUACGAAACACGCAAAAAAAUUUCAUCUCUUGUUUAUCUUUUCUAGCUUAUAUGUUAUUUUUUUCAUUAACUAUUUGAGCACGACGUAUUGAUGAAACACUUGAAAGGAGUCGCCCAACCGAAUGCAAUUUCAUAAAUGUUAAACAUUUUUUCUUUUCAAAUCUACAACUCUAACACAAAUGCCUCAAGUAAAUACUAAUGUAACAUUUGAUGAAUUUUCAUAACUGAGCUAUCAUUAUAACUCACGAUCAAUUAUAUCUUGUGAUUACCCUUCUCCAUGUGAAUUUGCAUGUACAGUUUCAUUAUUAUAGUGAAAUGCAUAAGAAAAAAACCAUUUCCAAAGUCACGAAGUCUUAUCCGCACCAUCUAGUAACGUAAGAAAAUUUAUGCAAACAUACUUUGUCCCUUUCAUAGUCAAUGGUACCAACCCCCCC
rnacentral:lncRNA from 1 species